UGUAGCGUGCACAGAGACACCACAGGCGCCUGCCUGGUUCUCCCUCUCUUGCUCUGCUGCAGGUGGGAUCGAGGAGGCAGGAGCAGCCGCCCCUCUCGUCCCUGUCUUAGCCCAGCCGGUUGCGUCUGCAUGGGGCUGGGCAUUCCACCCACUCGUCAGUCCUCGCCGCGAGCCCUUCCUCAUCCCAAGGCCCCAUCCCAUUGGACCUGUCGUCUGGGAGCCACUGAACGUGUGACACCUCACACAGGGAUCGGAGAGCAGGAGCCCCGGAGGCCAGUCAGAGAUGGGUAUGAAGGACAGGCCCUCUGUCUUAAUGACUGACUGACUCACGGACAUGGCUUUCAACAACAUGGUCGGUCCUAGAGGAAGAAAUGAUGCUCUAGCAGUCACACAACCCAACACACGUCUGUUCACAGGUAGCCAUGUAAACCCCAUUGGAGAUGUAGGUUUGAAGAGAAGCAGAGGAAAUCCUCCACCCAACCCAGAGAAGCCCUCUCCAGGUCAGCAGCAACAUUGGAGUACCCUACUACC